AGAAAGUUGGGAGAGGCAAGGAACAGAUUCUCACCUGGGACUUCCAGAAGGAAGCAGCCCUGCUAAUACCUUGACAUUAGCCCCUCCAGACUCAUUUCAGACUUGAGACAUCCAGAACUGAGCAGGGAUUCUUCCUUGCAGAGUUAUUGGAUCCAGUUGGAGAAAUGGACAGAGAUGAAAACUGAAGAAGCCACAGAGGAUUAAUGACUGGACAUAGGAAGGAGCCUGAAAAUAUCUGAGGAAUAAAGGAAAGAUGCAGAUGAGUUAGUGAGAAGUACGGUCCACUGAUGCUGUAAUAUUUUAAUAGAGAGUGAGGAUAGGGGCUGCUGCACCAAGAUGUAGAACUUUGGGAGACAGAGACAGUCUCCUUGGCCUGUCUUGUACCUACUAUUUUGGAUGGAUAUUCCUCACCUGGGCAGCAACUUCACAGGUUUGAUGAGCACUGUGUGGAAAUUUGAGAACAAAGUCAAUGAACUGUGCACAUUCGCAUGUGAGAGCCCACAUCCUUAUGCCACCAACCAAAGCCUGGUUCUGAGAGUAACAACCACGAUUACAACCAGCUUCCCUGCACACAGCUCAAAGGAAAUGCAGACUUCUACCCAGGGCUGCUGACUCAGCCUGAAGCACUGGAAGCUUCUGGGUGGUUUCAGUUAGAAGUCUCCUUUACUGAGUCCUCUGUCCUAGCCCUAGACAGAAUCAGCGGCAGUUUUCAAAUCUGAAAUUUUGAUUUGCACUAGUGGAUACUGGGUGCUACUUGAA